GGAUUGUGGCUCAGCGGUACAGCACUCGACUAGCAAGUGUGAGGCCCUGGGUUUGAUCCUCAGCACCA
rnacentral:tRNA from 1 species